UACGAGGGGGGCGAGCGUUGUUCGGAAUUAUUGGGCGUAAAGGGUGCGUAGGCGGUUUUGUAAGUCUUAUGUGAAAUCUAUGGGCUCAACUCAUAGACUGCAUGAGAAACUGCAGGGCUUGAGUAUGGGAGAGGUGAGUGGAAUUCCUGGUGUAGCGGUGAAAUGCGUAGAUAUCGUAAGGAAGACCAGUGGCGAAGGCGGGUCUCUGGACAGUUCCUGACACUGAGGCACGAAGGCCAGGGGAGCAAACGGG
rnacentral:rRNA from 1 species